rnacentral:rRNA from 1 species
UGGGCCCGAGUUUGAUCCUGGCUCAGAGCGAACGCUGGCGGCAGGCCUAACACAUGCAAGUCGAGCGCCCGUAGCAAUACGGGAGCGGCAGACGGGGGAGUAACACGUGGGAACGCGCCCUUCGGUUCGGAAUAACUCAGGGAAACUUGAGCUAAUACCGGAUACGCCCUUACGGGGAAAGAUUUAUUGCCGAAGGAACGGCCCGCGUCCGAUUAGCUAGUUGGUGAGGUAAUGGCUCACCAAGGCGACGAUCGGUAGCUGGUCUGAGAGGAUGACCAGCCUCACUGGGACUGAGACACGGCCCAGACUCCUACGGGAGGCAGCAGUGGGGAAUAUUGGACAAUGGGCGCAAGCCUGAUCCAGCCAUGCCGCGUGGAUGAUGAAGGCCCUAGGGUUGUAAACCUCUUUCAGCAGGGACGAAGCGAAAGUGACUGUACCUGCAGAAGAAGCACCGGCUAACUACGUGCCAGCAGCCGCGGUUA